GACGAACGCUGGCGGCGUGCCUAAUACAUGCAAGUAGAACGCUGAAGCGAGGAGCUUACUCUUCUUGGAUGAGUUGCGAACGGGUGAGUAACGCGUAGGUAACCUGCCUUGUAGCGGGGGAUAACUAUUGGAAACGAUAGCUAAUACCGCAUAACAAUGGAUGACACAUGUCAUUUAUUUGAAAGGGGCAAUUGCUCCACUACAAGAUGGACCUGCGUUGUAUUAGCUAGUAGGUGAGGUAAUGGCUCACCUAGGCGACGAUACAUAGCCGACCUGAGAGGGUGAUCGGCCACACUGGGACUGAGACACGGCCCAGACGCCUACGGGAGGCAGCAGUAGGGAAUCUUCGGCAAUGGGGGCAACCCUGACCGAGCAACGCCGCGUGAGUGAAGAAGGUUUUCGGAUCGUAAAACUCUGUUGUAAGUCAAGAACGGGUGUGAGAGUGGAAAGUUCACACUGUGACGGUAGCUUACCAGAAAGGGACGGCUAACUACGUG
rnacentral:rRNA from 1 species